rnacentral:rRNA from 1 species
AACGAACGCUGGCGGCAGGCCUAACACAUGCAAGUCGAACGCCCUGGCAACAGGGAGUGGCAGACGGGUGAGUAACGCGUGGGAACGUGCCUUUCGGUUCGGAAUAACCCACGGGAAACUUGGAUUAAUACCGGAUACGUGCGAGAGCAGAAAGAUUUAUCGCCGAAAGAUCGGCCCGCGUCCGAUUAGCUAGUUGGUGAGGUAAAGGCUCACCAAGGCGACGAUCGGUAGCUGGUCUGAGAGGAUGAUCAGCCA